rnacentral:rRNA from 1 species
UGGGCAGUUUGACUAGGGCGGUCGCCUCCCAAAAGGUAACGGAGGCGCUAAAAGGUUCUCUCAGUACGGUCGGAAAUCGUACGUAGAGUAUAAAGGAAAAAGAGGGCUUGAUUGCAAGACAGACAGGGCGAGCAAGGAUGAAAAUCGGACUUAGUGAUCCGGUGGUUCUGCGUGGAAGGGCCAUCGCUCAACGGAUAAAAGCUACCCGGGGGAUAACAGGCUUAUCUCCCCCAAGAGUCCACAUCGACGGGGAGG